AGCAGCCGCGGUAAUUCCAGCUCCAACAGCGUAUAUUAAAGUUGUUGCAGUUAAAAAGCUCGUAGUUGAAUUUCGGGAUCAGAUUGUCGGUCGUGCCUCGGUACGCACUGGCAUUAUUGGUUCCUACCUUCUGAAGAACCGCGAUGUCAUUAAUUUGGUGUCGUGGGGAAUCAGGACUGUUACUUUGAAAAAAUUAGAGUGUUUAAAGCAGGCGCACGCUUGAAUACAUUAGCAUGGAAUAAUGAAAUAGGACGUUUGAUUCUAUUUUGUUGGUUUCUAGGAUCGACGUAAUGAUUAAUAGGGGUAGUUGGGGGCAUUAGUAUUCAAUUGUCAGAGGUGAAAUUCUUGGAUUUAUUGAAGACUAACUACUGCGAAAGCAUUUGCCAAGGAUGUUUUCAUUAAUCAAGAACGAAAGUUAGGGGAUCGAAGACGAUCAGAUACCGUCGUAGUCUUAACCAUAAACUAUGCCGACUAGGGAUCGGAUGAUGUUAAUUUUUAAUGACUCAUUCGGCGCCUUAAC
rnacentral:rRNA from 1 species